CACGCCCUAAACGAUGCCAACUAGGUGUUGGGGAAGGAGACUUCCUUAGUACCGUAGCUAACGCGUGAAGUUGGCCGCCUGGGGAGUACGGUCGCAAGAUUAAAACUCAAAGGAAUUGACGGGGACCCGCACAAGCGGUGGAUGAUGUGGAUUAAUUCGAUGCAACGCGAAAAACCUUACCUACCCUUGACAUGUCAGGAACUUGCCAGAGAUGGCUUGGUGCUCGAAAGAGAGCCUGAACACAGGUGC
rnacentral:rRNA from 1 species